AUAUUUGUUUGCAAAGACAGCAGUUGUUCAUCAAUGUUACAGCAAUUGCUGAGGCUUGAACUGAGGUAGGAAGCAGGCCAUGUUCCUCUGCACUUAGCAACAUUGUUACCUAUCGAAUGGAGGCAGAGAAGCUAAAACCUAUUUCAUUUGUGCUUAUGGGAGAUGAUUUAACCUAGAACAAAACGGUUUGAAGUUACUACUAUUGAGUAUAAUAGGUUGUUCUAAAUUAUCACCAUAUUCUGGUGGACAAAAAAAGCUAGAGAAACUCAGCAGGUGAGGCAGAAUCUAUCGACCGAAGGAAAUAGGCGACUUUUCGGGUCGAGACCCUCCUUCAGACCAACCCACCAUAUUCUGGCCCACUGAUAGCCUUUUUUUUAAACAUGCAUCAAUAACUUUCCAACGUUAUAAAUAUCUGAACAGUGAAUACAUUUUUUGAGCUACAGAAGAAUUCUUCGUGUGGGAACAACUAUAUUUAUAUCUGAUGUUUGCACCAUAAUUGAUGAAUGAAUCGACCCCAGAGUUUUUGACAGAGAGGCUUUCAUUAUAUUGCAAUUGGUCUUAUACUAACCACUGAGUUUAGACAUAAAGCAUUAGUUAAGCAUGGAGCUAAUUGGUAGAGCUUAACAGCAAAGCAGUAAAAACAUGUUUGCUAAUAGUUUGUCUCUUAAAAACAGUGACAGCUAGGCUGCUUUAUUUGAAGCUGCUAGAUUUCACUGACUGUAGAUUAAUGCAACAUCUUACAGCUGUGCAACAUUCACAGUGCAGUUAUAAGAUAAUUGAACUAAAUGUAUCAAUGUUAUUUGGUCAAUUGCCCAGUCCCAUGAAAGUACGGUCUUGAAAUUUCAAGACCCUGGAGCAACAAGAGCGGUGAAGUCUGACUCUUUACAAGAUAGAGCUAAGUGCAGGAAUGCCGAGAAUGCUUCAUUCUGACCUGCCGAAGCAGGUUCUGCUGGGAUUGGGUCUGCUGUGACAUUGCUAACACUCACCAGAGCUGAAGUUCCUGAGCAAGAAUGGCAUCGCCCACCCUGAGAGUAAGAAGACUGGGAUAGAGUGGAUGUGAAAAGGAUGUUUCCACUGAUGGGAGAGUCUAGGACCAGAGGUCGUAGCCUCAGAAUUAAAGGGAGCUCUUUUAGAAAGGAGAUUUCUUCGUUGUAAGGUAAUCGAGUUAACUUGCACCACACAAUGACAGCUUGGCUGCUGUCGAAAUUAUAAAGAGAGCAGACCCAAGCGGAAGACCGCCCCCUCUAUCUACGACACGGAAGUCACUCCGCACCAAACACAAUGCACCCGGAAAAGCGGACAACACAAUCCCGUCCAGGCAUAUAUUUCUUACUCAAUGAAGAAUUAUCGCAGUUUCCUCUUCAAGUUAAACUUGUAGCCGUAAAAUGUGACCCGGGCAACUUUCCAGGAGCCUCUGUUUAUUCUUCCCAGAUAUUUGUGAAUGUAAUUUGCGUGAUAUUUGCAGAUCAUGAGACUUUGUCUUGCUCUGACCUUUGCGUCAUCCCAAUUAAAGAACAUCCCCGCCCUCAGUUCUGAAACUAUUCAAAGAAAUAGAAGUAAUGUUAAGACCUAUUUUUGUUACAAAAAGAGUAAUCGUUGAAAAAAAAUGUGUGAGAUCAUCCAUUAAAAAUACCAACGCUUAAAUUA